rnacentral:lncRNA from 1 species
CCCGGCAUUUCGUAUUUCAUUUCAUCAUUUCAUUUCUCACUUCAUUUCAUUUCAUUUGUUUCAUUUCAUUUCGAGACAGAGACUCGCUCUAUCGCCCAGUCUGGAGUGCGCCACCACACCCAGCAUUUCAUUAUUCAUUUCAUUUCACCCGGCAUUUCGUAUUUCAUUUCAUCAUUUCAUUUCUCACUUCAUUUCAUUUCAUUUGUUUCAUUUCAUUUCGAGACAGAGACUCGCUCUAUCGCCCAGUCUGGAGUGCACCACCACACCCGGCAUUUCAUUAUUAUUUCAUUUUUUCAUUUCAUCUAUUUCAUUUCAUUUUUCAAUUUCAUGACGUAGACUCGCUCUAACACCCAGGCUGGAGUGCACCCAGCAUUUCAUUAUUCAUUUCAUAUUUCAUUUCCCAUUUCAUUUCAUGACAGAGACUCACUCUAUCACCCAGGCUGGAGUGCAUCACCACACCCAGCAUUUCAUUAUUCAUUUCAUUUCAUUAUUUCUUCAUUUCAUUUCAUUUCACCUGGCAUUUCAUUAUUCAUUAUUUCAUUUCUUCAUUUCAUUUCAUCCCAUUUGAGAUAGAGACUCGCUCUAUCACCCAGGCUGGAGUGUGCCACUGCACCUGGCAUUUCAUUAUUCAUUGCAUUAUUUCAUCAUUUCAUUUAUUUCAUUUUUUCAUUUCAUUUCAUUUCACCCGGCAUUUCAUUAUUCAUUUCAUUAUUUCAUUUCAUCAUUUCAUUUCAUUUCAUUUUGAGACGGAGACUCCCUCUAUUGCCCAGGCUGGAGUGCGCCACUGCACCCAGAAUUUCAUUAUUCAUUUCAUUAUUUCAUUUCAUCAUUUCAUUUGAUCAUUUCAUUUCAUUUCAAGACAGAGACUCGCUCUAUCACCCAGGCUGGACUGCGCCACCACACCUGGCAUUUCAUUAUUCAUUUCACCCAGCAUUUCAUAUUUCAUCUCAUCAUUUCUCAUUUCAUUUAUUUCAUUUCAUUUCAAGACGGAGACGCGCUCUAUCACCCAGGCUGGAGUGCGCCACCACACCUGGCAUUUCAUAUUUCUUCAUUUCAUUUAUUCCAUUCCCAUAUUCCCAUUCCCAUUCAAUUUCAAUCCAUUUCAUGACAGAGACUUGCUGCAUUGCCCAGGCUGGAGUGCACCACACGCAUUUCAUUAUUCAUUUCAUUAUUUCAUUUCACCAUGUCAUGUCAUGUCAUGUCAUGUCAUUUCGAGCCAGAGGCUUGUUCUAACACCCAGGCUGGAGUGCAGUGGCGCAAUCCCUGCUCACUGCAACCUCUGCCUCCUGGGUUCAAGCGAUUCUCCUC